rnacentral:rRNA from 1 species
AAUGAACGCUGGCGGCGCGCCUAAUACAUGCAAGUCGAGCGAGAAGACGUAGCAAUACGUUUGUAAAGCGGCGAACGGGUGAGGAAUACAUGGGUAACCUACCCUCGAGUGGGGAAUAACUAGCCGAAAGGUUAGCUAAUACCGCGUACGCUUCUUGGACUUCGGUUCAGGGAGGAAAGCGAUGCCGAGGGUAUCGCGCUCUUGGAUGGGCUCAUGUCCUAUCAGCUUGUUGGGAGGUAACGGCUCACCAAGGCUUCGACGGGUAGCUGGUCUGAGAGGACGAUCAGCCACACUGGCACUGCGACACGGGCCAGACUCCUACGGGAGGCAGCAGUAAGGAAUAUUGCGCAAUGGGCGAAAG